AGUGGUGUGGUUUAUGGUGGCUGGGAGGGCCCUGGAAACUUCUGAAGACGGUGACUGCUGCCAGGUUUCCCAGUGGUGCUUCAGACAUUGUUCCUGAACCCCAUUAGGGGGACCAGCUGAGCCCCCUUCUGAUGUCUGCCUUGCUGGAUAGACAAAGAAGCAAAAGAUGUGAAGUGGUAGCCAGCUUCCCGAGAGAAAAGAUUUCCUUGGCUUCUCCUUUUCCUGGAUCCGAGCUCUCAACAAGGCCAGGUGUCGGUAGCCUGGCUUCUAGAACGUGACACAAACGGAGGCUGGCCCUUCACCUGUCUGUAGUGAUCUUACAGAGUCAAUGAGGUCUGUGCUUAGUCUCUGAGCAGGGUCUCCCCAGCUGCACCGGCAUCAGAAGUCAGUGGUUGGACCCAUUAAACCCGACUGUGCCCAUUUCUCGAGUUUCCCUCUUAGGCAGUUACAUCUAAGAACUUGCUCUUCUUACAAGGUUCCAGGUAGCACCAA
rnacentral:lncRNA from 1 species